rnacentral:lncRNA from 1 species
GCUGUCCCUAGUGGUGCUAGUCAGAAUACAGUACCGGAGCGCAGCGCUUAACCCUCAGGUUGUGCCGCAACCGAUGCACUAUCCCCUACCCCACCGUUCCAAUACCCUUACCGUCGGACUCGGCACGAACCAGCAGCGACAUCCCCUUGAGCUCCUCUACGUUCGUACGGGCUGCCCUAGCAGGGGCUACGGCGGCCGACGAGCCCAACGCACAGUACCUUUACCUCCGAACACACUUCCGGAGAGUCAGACCUCGGCGAUCUCGCGAGGAGUGCGCCGCCGAGGUGAGCCGGCCAAGGAGGGACUUCCUCCUCUUUCGGCCCCGCUUCCUGAUUCGGGAAUCUCAGUUGGGCGGGGAAGUCCCGCGAGCUUUUCUACCUGCGCCGGGAGGAAGCGUGUGUAGAAGGUUGCCUUGGCGAUGGAGUUGCCGAGUUGUUCUUCGGGAUUUGUAGGGCUGAUGUUGGUCAUGUGGCGGGUUGUCAACUCUGGACUUGCUCUCAGCAGAACAGAGCCAGGCUGAGAAGUCCGAAUGCGUGCACAGGACUAGAGUGAAGCCAAGUGUAGGGACUCAGGCUGACAGCCCGAAAAGGACUGAGACGGGGUGAGGGUGUUCGAGUCAUUCGUGAAGACGAUGGGAGGUCGAGCCUUCACCCACUAAAAUCCGUUAUAGAAUCUGCGAGGCUUCUGCCGGGAAGGUGUUCCAUGGCCACGAUGAGCAGUGGGCGAUCUAAUGUUCCACAAACGCGUUGACAGUUCCUAUUUCCCGCCGAAGCGUUCUUCCGUUAGCCGGGUACCACGGACCAUUAAAAGGUUCAGAGAGACCGGCGGCAGCGACGAGGCAAGCACAGGCGUACAGCCUCACAAUCCUCGGGGAGCUCUCAGCUUCAUGUGCCGCAAGAACGGUUUCCAGCGUGAAGUUAACGUCGCUCAGAGCGUGACGCUCGCCCGAAGGCAUCCGCUCCCAGCGUAGUUCUGCCGCCUCUCCGUUCUCUUAUAUGGUCCCUCAACUCUUGGCUCUAACCUGAAAGGUGAACACGGGGCAGGUGCACAUGUUGAUCCCGCGGUGUAUUUCGGGAGUUGUAGUCAUCACCAUGCUUGUCAAAGUGUGCUUAUGAUUUGACGAGGUUAGGCGGCAACUCAUGUUUAAAAGGGUGUCUUAUGUACAUAGUCGCUUGAUUGAAAAGGAUUUCAAAAUUUGAACUAUCAUUGCGAUUCUUUAAAUGUAUGAGGGACCAAGAAAAUUAGCCUGGUCUGCUGUCAUUUGCCUGUAACGACUGCAUAUGGAAAUUGCAGCCUAUGGUAUGUAACAGGAUUCUGCCUAUGAUAAAAGGACGUGAAUCACUAUACAUAAGUCCCUGAUAAUCUGUGACUGAUAUGGACAAAAUGUACUUUGAACCAGGGAAAAUAUGACUUGUUUGGGGAAGGCCAUAGAAAGCUUUCCAGAGUCAGUGUUUUAGCCCAAUGUUAGAGGACACCCAAGGAUUUGUCUAAGCAUCCUUUUCAUUGCCCACUCUAAAGGAGAAAAGAACGUUGGCAAGAGCACUGGAUAGAUCCUGGAAGCCCACUCAGCCUUUAGGACAGAAAUUUCAGGUGCCCAGAGCAUUCUCUGUAGAAUGUUUUGGUCAGGGUCCAUCCAGCUUAUGCUGUAGUCUGGAAGCAUCACUGUGCCAUAGCCAUACCUUCCCCCAGAGUCUUUUACAAGGAAACUACAACUCCAAAAGGUUGUAGCCCAAAUGAGCCCCUGAUGUCCUUGAUCUUUACAAGUAAUACCUUUAUAUGUGAAAAAAUUAAAAUGGCAAAGAACUUCUGCAAUGCAAGGUAAGUCUCUUCAGCUCCCGCUUCCCGCUAUUCUCCAGAAAACAGUGACUAUAUCACUCCCCACUAGAUCCCCUCUCAUUCUCACUGUGUGUGAGGUUAGACUGGGGGCAGUUCCUUGGUGUGUGUCCUAUACAUUUGUACAUUUGAUUUAAUGCUGCUAUCAUCAUCUAAAAAUGUUAAGUAAUUUUUGAACAUUGUUUUCUUUCCACUAGGUUUUAUGCUGUAUUUUGUUUUAGAAAUAGUUUAGCAUGUGCAAAUGUGUGUGUAAAUAUACUGUAGUUGUCUUUUGAUGAUUUAAAUGACUGUUUCCAGGACUCAAAUCCAUCCCAAUAUCUGUAUGAUGAAGUCUUUCAUAUAAAAUGGCAUAUGUUUUGCUUAUAACCUA